rnacentral:rRNA from 1 species
CCUACGGGGGGCAGCAGUGAGGAAUAUUGGUCAAUGGGCGUAAGCCUGAACCAGCCAAGCCGCGUGAGGGAUGAAGGUUCCAUGGAUCGUAAACCUCUUUUAUAAGGGAAUAAAGUGCGGGACGUGUCCCGGUCUGUAUGUACCUUAUGAAAAAGCAUCGGCUAACUCCGUGCCAGCAGCCGCGGUAAUACGGAGGAUCCGAGCGUUAUCCGGAUUUAUUGGGUUUAAAGGGUGCGUAGGCGGCCUUUUAAGUCAGCGGUGAAAGCCUGUGGCUCAACCCUAGGAUAGCCGUUGAAACUGGAAGGCUUGAGUAUGUUUGAGGCAGGCGGAAUGCGUGGUGUAGCGGUGAAAUGCUUAGAUAUCGCGCAGAACCCCGAUUGCGAAGGCAGCAUGCC